rnacentral:rRNA from 1 species
CUACGUGCCAGCAGCCGCGGUAAUACGUAGGGGGCAAGCGUUAUCCGGAUUUAUUGGGUUUAAAGGGAGCGUAGGCGGAUUGUUAAGUCAGCGGUUAAAGGGUGUGGCUCAACCAUGCAUUGCCGUUGAAACUGGCGAUCUUGAGUGCAGACAGGGAUGCCGGAAUUCGUGGUGUAGCGGUGAAAUGCUUAGAUAUCACGAAGAACUCCGAUCGCGAAGGCAGGUGUCCGGGCUGCAACUGACGCUGAGGCUCGAAAGUGUGGGUAUCAAACAGGAUUAGAUACCCUGGUAGUCCACACAGUAAACGAUGUAUACUCGCGGUUUGCGAUAGACAGUAAGCCGCCAAGCGAAAGCAUUAAGUAUACCACCUGGGGAGUACGCCGGCAACGGUGAAACUCAAAGGAAUUGACGGGGGCCCGCACAAGCGGAGGAACAUGUGGUUUAAUUCGAUGAUACGCGAGGAACCUUACCCGGGCUUGAAC